UCUCAACUUUUUACAUGUGUUACAUUAGUCUGCGAUAUUCAUCCUGUGACAACGAAAAAAAAUCUGUAUUUAAAACUGUAUCUAUCAUCUGCAUUUAUCAUCUCUUACGCUUGCUUUUCAGGUGGUUCAUUGCAUCCAGUCCAUCUAAAAGAACGGCACCCAGAUGACACAUAUGAAAAGAGGAACAAGUAGGAUAUAAAAAAUAUAAGUAUAACUGAACCUGACAUUUUAAAGAUUAUGUCCAACUAAUGCUGGAAAAUAUCUGUUUAGCUUUUAAACCGAAUCUGCAUGUGGUUGAUAAGAAUAGAGUGACAGGUUAAUUGAAAUGUUGAUAAAAAUCAAUUGGUUGUCCAAUAGAUUUCUUCAACAACAAUAGAUUAAACAAUAGAUUAUAAAAAUUGAUUACCAGUAGACGGGUUAAGGGAACUAAACAAAUAAAUCAAGACAAAAACAUAAACGUUAAAGGAAAUAAAACAAGUUAGUUAUAUGGAAUCUUUCCGUUGACAUACUCAGUUGUCGACUAACAAGAAAUGGAUUGCAUCAAAAAAUUUAAGUUGAAAACUUAAAAUUUUUAUUAA